CGGCGGCUAUACUUAAGUCGAGCGAAUUGAUGCGAGCUUGCUCCCUGAUAUUAGCGGCGGACGGGUGAGUAACACGUGGGCAACCUGCCCUGCAGAUGGGGAUAACUCCGGGAAACCGGGGCUAAUACCGAAUAAUCGGUUCUUCCGCAUGGAAGAACUCUGAAAGACGGUUUCGGCUGUCACUGCAGGAUGGGCCCGCGGCGCAUUAGCUAGUUGGUGGGGUAACGGCCUACCAAGGCGACGAUGCGUAGCCGACCUGAGAGGGUGAUCGGCCACACUAGGACUGAGACACGGCCCAGACUCCUACGGGAGGCAGCAGUAGGGAAUCUUCCACAAUGGACGAAAGUCUGAUGGAGCAACGCCGCGUGAGCGAAGAAGGUUUUCGGAUCGUAAAGCUCUGUUGCGAGGGAAGAACAAGUACGGGAGUAACUGCCCGUACCUUGACGGUACCUCGUUAGAAAGCCACGGCUAACUACGUGCCAGCAGCCGCGGUAAUACG
rnacentral:rRNA from 1 species